GCUACAUCUUCGGCCAACGAAUUGUCGACCACCCAAUAAAACCUGAGGUUAGAUUUUUAAGAUUUACUCUUAUGCAUUUUAGCUAUUUGGUUGCUAAAAAUUCUUGAUUUCUUUAAUUUUUUUGCACUAGAGUUUCUACCCAACCCUCCAGUCAACUCUUUAAGGUCGAAGAACAUGAAAGGAAUGACGUAAAUGUUAGAAAAUCAAAUUAGAUCCAAAUAUAAAUUAAAUCACAGGAUCAACAUCAUGCUAAAUUACUAGAAUUCACAUAUUCAGAUAAUAUACCUGUAUUCAUUGUAAACGAUUGCCUACUGUUGCGGAAUUACUGCGACGAUCGACUACGUACCGAUAAAUACAAAUGAAGAUGGUGGUUUUGUGAUCUUCCUCAACCAAAUUUCCUAAUUCCUCAAUGGGACCGUGAUUUCUCUUCUUGAUGGGGAGAAGGGAAAAGAGUGUAUGAUUUGGUAUAUUUGGGGAUCAUAACCAAAAUAACAUUUAUAUACUACUUAAUUAAGGUUCCCAUUAUCCCUUAAUUAGAGUAAUAUUAGCCGGUAUCUACUCACUUAAUCCAUAUUAAUUUGAGUAGUCUAUGGGCAUACAAAAAAUAGACCACUUGAUUUUUGCCCAUUAUAUUAAAUAGCUAAUAUAAUUGUAUUAAUAUGUUGUCAAUAUUAAUUUAGAAAAAUCGUGUUUUUCUAACAAUCUCCCACUUGGCUACAUAUUAUUCCUUAAACAAUUAUAUUACAAAACUCCUUAGGCGCGCAUCUGUAUGCUAUUUAUCAUUAGACUGCUCCUUAAACAAUCUUGUCCAUCUCAUAUACUAAUAAUAGAACCACCGCAACUUUCAUCACAAUACAUUAGUGAUUAAACCACGAUGAUCAACAUAUUAAUACACUUAAUGACAUAGAUCAAAUAUGGAUAAGUAGCAUGGAAAUUUACAUGAAAUGUGAUCUCAAACAUGCCUAUUUCCAACUGGUCCUUCUUUAGUCUUUAGUAAGAUCAUUCCAAAGUCCUUAAUGCAAUGCAAACAUUGCACAAUGAAAACACAAGCAAACUCAGAAAUAGAAUCAUAGGCCAUCAACUUUAUUUUUGCAGAAGGUUAAAUAAUUUAAUCUCUAAAGCAAACAUAUAGAACAUAAAAUUGACUCCCACUAGACUAGAAUAUCCUCGGAAAUAAUGCCCAUGUGAGCAGUGUGCUCACGAAAGACCUUCGGCGUUAAGCCCUUGGUUAGUGGGUCCGCUAGCAUGGAAUUUGUUCCUAUAUGUUCUAUGAAAAUCUGUUUAUCUUGAACUCUCUCCUUAACAACUAGAAACUUGAUAUCAAUGAAUUUCGACUUUGUCGAACUCCUUUUGUUGUUGGAGUGAGUUAUUGUCACAAUAAAUCUUUAAUGGCCUGUCAAUGCCAUCUACCACUCGUAGUCUAGUGACAAAGUUUCGUAGCCAUAUUCCAUGGUUGGAUGCCUCAUAACAAGCAAUGAACUCCACAGCCAUGGUUGAAGAAGCCAUGAGAGUCUGUUUAGCAGACUUCCAUGAGAUAGCUCCUCCAGCCAACAUAAAGACGUAGCCUGAUGUGGAGCGUCUGCUAUCGGCAUCCCGCAAAAUCGGAGUCAGAGCAAAAUCGGAGUCAGAGAACCCGAUGAUCUCUAAACUAUCUGAUCUCCGAUAAGUGAGCAUGUAGUCUUUUGUUCUCCUCAAAUAACGCAUCACGCGUUUGGCUGCUUUCCAAUGUUGCAUGCCAGGAUCACUCAAGUAUCUACCCAAAACUCCCACUAUAAAUGCUAUGUCGGGAUGAGUACAAAUUAGAGCGUACAUUAGACUCCCUACCACUGAUGCAUAGGGAAUCUUCUGCAUCUCUUCUCUUUCAAGAUCAUUAUUGGGGCACUGUUUGAGACUAAACUUGUCUCCUUUAGAGAUGGGCGUGUCUCCUGGUCUACUAUCUUUCAUGCCAAAUCUACUCAAAACCUUAUCGAUAUAGCUCUUUUGUGAAAGUCCAAGGAUACCUCGAGAACGAUCUCUCAGUAUCUGAAUACCUAAUACAAAAGAAGCAUCCCCAAGAUCUUUCAUCUCGAAUUUCUUCGUCAGAAAUUUCUUGAUUUCAUGCAAUAAGCCUAUAUCGCUGCUAGUGAGUAGAAUAUCAUCAACAUAUAAUACCAAGAAGAUAUAUUUACUCCCACUGAACUUAUGAUAUACACAGCAUCAACAACAUUUGCCUCAAAACCGUAUGAGGUAAUGAUUUGAUGGAACUUGUGAUACCAUUGACGGGAAGCUUGUUUGAGACCGUAGAUGGAUUUCUUCAACUUACAAACCAUAGACUUUGGAUCUCCUGAUACAAAACUUUCUGGUUGUACCAUGUAAAUCGUCUCAUCAAUGUCUCCAUUGAGAAACGCAGUCUUGACAUCCAUCUGAUGUAGCUUUAGAUUAAAAUGAGCCACUAGUGUCAUUAUUGUUCUAAAAGAGUCUUUCGAAGAUACCGGAGAGAAAGUCUCUUUGUAGUCUAUGCCUUCCUUUUGAGUAAAGCCUUUAGCGACUAGACGAACUUUAUAUCUCUCGACACUGCCUCUUGAAUCCCUCUUGGUUUUAAAUAUCCACUUACAACCAAUGGGCUUCACACCUUUAGGCAACUCGACGAGAUCCCAAACGUUAUUAUCUUUCAUAGACUUUAUCUCAUCUUUCAUGGCAUCAAUCCACUUCUGAGAGUUAGAACUAUGCAUGGCCUGAUGGAAGUUGAUCGGGUCAUCCUCCGUAAAACCAACGCCAUCCUCAUGUUCUUGAAGAAAGACGAUAUAAUCAUCUGAAAUCGCAUUUCUUCUCUCCCUAGUGGAUCUCCUUAUAGCACUUCUUGAGGUUGUUGAGUUUGUUCUAGAGGUGGUGCUUGAGGAAGAAUCUCACUGUUGUCUUGGUCUGAAACAAUGUCAGGAAUAGGAGCCUGAACAUUGUCAUCUAUUGCCAGAACUGUGUCUUGAACAACGAUAGGUACAGAGACCUGAUUGCUAUCAAUAACAGAUUCUUCUUCAAAGACAACGUUCCUUAUGUUUCCUUCCCCUCCAAACUCAAUAUUCUCAAGGAAUCUCGCAUUUCCCGUUUCAAAGAAGGAUCAUGAUGUGGGAUAGUAAAACUUAUAGCCCCGAGAGCAUUCAGCGUAACCAACAAAAUAGCAGCUAACCGUCCUUGAGUCCAGUUUUCUUUCAUGUGGCCUAUAAGGCCGUACCUCAGCUGGACAACCCCAAAUGUGCAAGUGCUUAAUGCUAGGCUUCUUGCCUGUCCACAGCUCAUAAGGGGUUUUGGCAACUGUCUUGCUUGGUACCCUGUUAAGAAUGUACACUGCGGUCUUCAAAGCUUCUCCCCAAAGUGACUCUGGUAAGGAGGAAUGACUUAUCAUACUCCUUACCAUAUCCUUAAGAGUUCGGUUUCGUCGUUCUGCAACACCAUUCAUACUAGCUUUGCCCGGCAUGGUGUAUUGCGGAAUAAUUCCACACUCAUUGAGGAAAAUAGCGAAGGGUCCUGGACGUUGUUCUCCCGAUCCAUCAUAUCUUCCGUAGUAUUCACCACCACGGUCAGAUUUGACAGCCUUUAUUUUCUUUCCAAGUUGAAGUUCAACUUCAGCUUUAAAGACUUGAAAACAUCCAGGGAUUGAGACUUCUCAUGUAUUAAAUAUAGGUAACCGAAUCUAGAGUAAUCGUCUAUGAACGUAAUGAAGUAUUGUUGUCCAUUCCAAGAAGCCGUAGGGAAUGGGCCACAUAUAUCAGUAUGUAUCAGUUCUAAGACGUCUGUAGCUCUCUCGGCACCUAAUUUUCUCAUGUUUGUUCUUUUACCCUUGAUGCACUCAACACAAACUUGGAAGUUUGUUAAAUCUAGGAGUUCAAGAAUUUCAUCCGACACAAGCCUCUGAAUUCUCUGCUUAGAGAUAUGACCUAAACGCUUGUGCCAUAAAGUGACAGAAUUCUCACUUAAUUUUCCCUUUGUACCACGUGAACUUGUUUGCAGUAUUUCGUUAUAGGAACUAACAAUAUCAAGUAUAUACAGAUUAUCAAUCAUAUAACCGGAACCAACAAAAUUUGAAUUUUGAUAGAGACUAACUUUAUUAUUUCCAAAUGAACAAGAAAAUCCUGAUUUGUCCAAAUUAGAAAUAGAAAUUAAAUUCCGUCUAAAGGACGGUGCAACAAAUGUCUCAAACAAAUCCAAAUAAAACCCAGUUUUUAAUUGUAAUCUGAAAGUCCCUAUAGCCUCUACCGCAACUUUAUUGCCAUCGCCCACAAAGAUGAAUCUUUCAGCAUCAUUUGGCGAUCGGCUCCACAGGCAAUCCUGCAUGGACAUACUUAUAUGAGUAGUAGCACCAGAAUCUACCCACCAAGUAUCCUUAGGUACAGAAGCUAAAUUAACUUCAGAACAAACUAAAGUUAGAAGCAUACCCUUCUUUACACGCCAGGCAGCGUAUUUGGGACACUCCUUCUUCAUGUGUCCCGACUUCUUGUAGAAGUAGCAGGUAAACUCCUUAUCCUGCUUCUUUUGCUUCUUCUGCUGAGAAGUUCCUUCCACAGCAUCCUUAGCUCUCUUCUUUUUCUUGUUCUGAGAGGUUGAGGCCAAGUGAGCACUCUCAGUCUUAUCACGUUGUUGCCUCUUUUCUUCUUGCACACAGUGAGAUAUAAGCUCAUUUAGGGACCAUUUGUCCUUCUGAGUGUUAUAACUCACUUUGAAUUGCCCAAAGUGCGCAGGAAGAGAGAUCAAAAUCAAGUGCACGAGCAAGUCAUCAGACAGCUCCAACUUAAGCGACUUGAGUUUUGAUGCGAGAUGAGACAUCUCCAUGAUGUACUCUCUUAUGUUCCCUUUGCCCUUAUACUUCAGGGAAACGAGUUUAGCCAAAAGGUUACUCGCCUCCGAUUUUUCAUUCUUGGCAAAAUAUUGCUCAAUUUUUUCAAGGAGCUUCUUGGCACUCCCGCUCUCAGUAGUAGAGCCCCGAAACGCUUCCGGAAUGGAACGUUUCAUGAUCAUCAAGCACAUCCAGUCAGAGCGAUCCCACUUUUCAAUUUUGCCCUCAUUGGGGUUUUCUGGAGUAGAAGCGGGUCGAUCUGAACGAAGUGCAAGAUCCAAAUCCAUACAGCCGAGGACAAUUUCCACAGCUUCUUUCCAAACUUUAAAGUUCGUCCCGCUCAGCAUUGGGAUGUUGCUGACUUGAGCAGAGACGUUCACAGCAUUAACAACAGAAACUGUAUAGAGAACAAAAUAAGCAAGCAUGUCAAAUAAGAAAAUUAAGACACGCACAAAUAAUCCAGAUUUUGGGAUCCAUCUCAAGAUACCUAGUACGACAUUAAUUCCUAGUCUUUGGACAGAGAAAUUAACUGUAAUUGGUACUCUUGGUGCAAUGAUCAAACAUUGACAAUCAAUUCUGUCAAAUAAUAGCCUUUCUUUGGACCGGCUAUUAUUCACAUGAAAUGUCUUUAUAAUUGUCACACAUUUGUCAUCACAAACACGUUGUUAUUUGGCCAAAUUGUGUCUUCCUUUGAGCCGAGCACAAUUCACAUAAAUAACUCCGUACAAAACAUCUAUCUAUUUUCAAUUAAAUCAAUCUACACAAUAGGGAUUACUUUGACAACAUGUUGCUUUAAUCAAUUAAAUUGAAUAUACUAGACAUCCAAAGGGAACAAUCAAAACCAAAGUUUUGAAUUUAUUUUAAAACUUAAAAUUGGAAAAACUGAAUUCUGAAAUAUGAAUGGGCUGAACAAAAUGAAUCAAUUUUCAAUUUUAUGUCUACCACAAUCUGUUUCUAAUUCCUUCAUUAUAAAAAGGAUAUAUAUAUAUAUAUAUGAUUUUUGGGUCUUCUUUUUCUUCUGACAAAGUUUGUUUUUCUGAAUUAUUGAAGAUCUGGUCAUGUGCUAAGAUUAUGGCGUGCCACUGAUGAAAAUGACAUUCCACUGUCUGAAUUAUUGUAUCCUUCUUCCUGUGGAUCUUCAUCUGAAAGCCUGGAGUUACUGGCUUCAUCUUUUUCUUUCUGAUCUGGACAUUCUGCAAUUCCUUUUUCUUCUUCAUGACUCUUUUUUAAUAUUGUCUCAAAUGCUUGGUUAACUGCUUCUCUUAUUUGUUCUUUUAGUUCUUCAUCAUUUUCCUUCUUCUUAAUCUUUUUCUUUUUUCUAGAAGAAGUCCCUUUAGAUUGUUUUUGAAGUUUUUCAAUUUUUUCAAAGAUCUUUUCUAAUGAAGCUGUAUUUGGAUUAGGAUCUUGUGAAUCUUGGAAAAAUAAACAUUCUUGACUAUCUUGGACUACCAUUUUUUCUUUUCCCUUACUUGACUGAAUUUCUUGGACUUGUGAAAGUUCUGGAUUAUUUGAAAAGUGUUCUGAAGAAAAAUGUUCUGGUGGACUAUACUUUACUAAGUAGUCAAAUUUUCCACUAGGCUGUCCUAAAAGAUUCCAAAUCUCUUUACCUUUUUCUGUAGCAGAUUUAUCAGUCUGAUGAACUUGAUUUUGAAAUGGUUCAUUUUGUUCUAUGGCAAUACAAUAUGUUCUUAUAGUUAUUUCUUUCUUAGAUAUAAUGAAUAAUUCAAAACUAUCUAAUGCAUAAUUAAUAGCUAAUAAUUCUACAUCUAUACUGCUUAAAUUUCCUUUUUCCUUAUAAUUUUCACUAUUAUACCUACAAAUUCUUUCUGUACUUUUAUCAGUGUAUUUAUUGGGUUUGCAUAUUAAAAUAGCUCCCCAUCCUAUCAUACUUCCAUCUGUUUCUAUAAUUAGGUAUUUUGAGUCUAAAGACAUAACUAAUUCUGGUAGAGUUUUUAUUUUUUCUUUUAUUUGUUGGACUAAUUUUAUAUCUUCUUGAUUAAAAAAUCUUUGUCCUGUAGGAGAUGUCUUUGCAUAUAAAGGUCCUGCUAUUUUUCCUAAAUCUUUUAUGAAUGGUCUAGCAUAAUUUAUUAAUCCUAAAAAUUUUUGUAUUUGUUUUAGAUCUUCUAGUUUAUCUGAAAAUUCUAAAACUUUCUUAGCAAUAUGAGGUUGUAACUUUAUUUUACCUUCUCCUAUAUUAACUCCUAAAAAAUCUAUAAAUUCUUUAAAUAAAAUCAUUUUCUUCUUACUGAUUAUUAAACCAUGUUUAAUAAAUUCUGAAAAUACUAUUUGUAAAUGUCCCCUAUGUUCUUGUUUAUUUUUACUAAAUACUAAAAUAUCAUCUAUGUAUACUAUUACAAACUUACUAUGUCUAUUAAAAAUAAUUUUCAUUUUUUUUGGAAAAUACUUGGUGUAUUCUUAAUUCCAAAUAGCAUUACAAGCCAUUCAAAAUGUCCUUCUGGACAGGUAAAAGCUGUCCAUUUAAUACUUUCUGAGUGCAUCUUCACUUGCCAAAAUCCUGAUUUUAAAUCAAGUUUGCUAAAGAUUUUACAAUCUUGUAUUUUAUUUAUUAACACUGUAUUAUUUGGUAUGUUAUAAGUAUCAUCUAAUGUAUUGUCAUUAAGUCUUUUAUAAUUGAUAACCAUUCUACUUUUUCCUCUAACAAUUUCUGAAUGUUUUCUGACUAUAAAGGCUGCUGAUCUAUGAGGACUUUCUGAUUUUCUAAUUACUCCUAGCUCCAAGAGUUCUUUUAUAUGGAUUUUAAAAUCUUCUAAGUCUAAGUUUGUAGCUUCUAUAUUCUUAGUUUUAAUUAUGUAUUCUGGAUUUUUUAUUUUUAGUUCACAUAAGAUUUUAUCUUUUUUCCAAUAUUUUAGAACAUUUUCACCUAUAAUUUCCAUCUUUUCUAAUCUAGAAAUUAAAUUUUCUAUUUCUUGUUCGAGAAUCCUUAAUCCAGAAAUACUAUAUAAUAGAGGAAUUUUUGAAACAAGAACACAAUUUUUUAGACAUAGUAGAGAAGUAUCUAUCCAAUGUAUAGGAAACCAAGUAAGAAAAUUAAAUUUAAUAUCAGAAGACUCUAAAAGAGAAUUAAAAAAGAAAAAUUUUAGAUUUAUGCAUUUAGGAUUAAUAGUUAUAAGAAUAAAAUGAUUAAUGAGAAAAAACUUAGGAUGUAAAGUUUUAGUUACUAUAUAUGAUGAAAGAAUUAAUAAUAUAGAUAAAAGCAUGAUUGCAAGUACUUCUUCAGGAUUAGUUUCUUCUUCAAAAUCAUUUUGUCUUUGUACCUGAUUAUAAUCUAAAAAUCUUAAACUAGUUCUUCCAUGAAUAUCUUUAUAGGUUAAUGCUUCCUGUGGUGCUAUAAUUGUUUCUUGAUUUUCUAAAAAUUUAUCCAUAUCCCAUUAUAAUCCUGCUAAUUGUUCUGAUGAAUAUUCUUUAGGUUUAACCAUGUUAAUUCCUUUACUACUCAUUAAAUUUACUACUUUAUCUAUGUAAAUUUUAUAUUUUGUCUGUGAAUUAUUUGAACAUCUUCCUAAAAAUCCUAUACUAAUUAAUAGGUUAUCUCCACUUUCUACCUUCUCAUAUCCUUUUGUUUGAAUUCCUAUUUUAAUUUUAUCUGAAAAGUCUUUAAUAGUUAAUAAAAAAUCUGGAUUACAAUAAAUUAUUCCAUUAUUAUUAUUCAUAUCUACUUCUGUGUGUGUGUGUGUAUAUAUAUAUAUAUAUAUAUAUAUAUAUAUUUUUUUUUUUUUUUAUUUUUUUUUUUAAACCAAAAGGCACAUGUCUUGGACCCAUUAUGAAACAAAAGUCAACAAUUGCAACUGAAUCAUAUAAUGCAAUUGAAAUUGAUCCAUUGUGAAAGGUUACAUGUAUUACCAAUCUAUACUAAAUAUGCCAAAUAGUAUUCUGUCAUACACCAUUCUAUAUUGACUCCAUUAUGAGACAUAAAACAAGGGUCAAAAAAUGCGGCUAAUCCAUACAGUUGAAAUUCUGAUUUCUGAAUCCAUAAUGAAGGUCACAGAUUUUGCAGUGAUCUACACGCUACCAAAAGUAAUGUAUCCAUUAUAAAUAGUCCAAAAUUGCUGACUUGCUCUUGAUGCAAUUGAAAUUCAUUAUAAAAUGAUCCGAAACUGCAGAUGUCUAAAAGGCAGAUGAAAUUCAGAUCCAAAAAAAAAAACUUAAAAUGGACACAGACAGAAUUUAAAAUCAAUACUAACUGUGCCAAAAAUUUUGAGAUCCGAUUUUGCCGAAUGCAUCAAGAAUAAUUCUUAAACUUAACAGUUUAAGGAAUUUCACAAAAUUCAAACAUUCUAUUCGAGAAAAAUAAUCCAAAUAUCAUACGAAUAGAACAUGCACAAAUCCUAAUAAUCUAGCAAAUGAUGACCGCUCUGAUACCACUUGUUAGAAAAUCAAAUUAGAUCCAAAUAUAAAUUAAAUCCUAGGAUUAACAUCAUGCUAAAUUACUAGGAUUCACAGAUUCAAAUAAUAUACUUGUAUCCAUUGUAAACGAUUGCCUACUGUUGCGGAAUUACUGCGACAAUCGACUACGUACCGAUGAAUGCAAAUGAAGAGGGUGGUUUUGUGAUCUUCCUCAACCAAAUCUCCUUAUUCCUCAAUGGGACCGUGAUUUCUCUUCUUGAUGGAGAGAAGGGAAAAGAGUGUAUGAUUUGGUAUAUUGGGGACCAUAACCAAAAUAACAUUUAUAUACUACUUAAUUAAGGUUCCCAUUAUCCCUUAAUUAGAGUAAUAUUAGCUGGUAUCUACUCACUUAGUCCAUAUUAAUUUGAGUAGUCUAUGGACAUACAAAAAAUAGGCCACUUGAUUUUUGCCCAUUAUAUUAAAUAACUAAUAUAAUUGUAUUAAUAUGUUGUCAAUAUUAAUUUAGGAAAAUCGUGUUUUUCUAACAGAUUUCGCAUGAAAAUUAUCCAACAUACCAUUAACUAAAAGUACAGGCACUUACUAGAAAGCUGUGCGGUGUCGAUUUUUGUGUACUUAGACCUACUAUAGUCUAUGGAUAUGUAACUUGCAAUUUUGAAUAGGGCUUUUAAUGGAGACUCCUCUACUAAUUGUGCGCGACAAUCUAAAUUGCCUAAGAAUUAUUGUUUUGUUAUUCAAAAGGUUUUCAAAGAGAGAUGUUUUUAAUGAAUUGUGGGUAAAGAGAACCAUUUAAAGAAUUUGCACCGUAUAUUACAGGAUGAUUUCAACUAUAUAUUUACAUAAUAAAAUAUUAUACAUUCAGAAUCAAAACUUUUUUCCACUUUUUAGCUAUACACUCUUUGAAAAUACUAUUUAAAACUCUUUUUCCUUAAAAUAAUGGGCACCAAAUAGUUUCUUAAAUGGUUAAUUAAGUAAUUUUAUUUAAGUUCAUUUAAGUAUACAAUAACAUUGUUGUGUAAUAAGUUUAUUUUGUGGUGGUAUUAUAGAGCCUAUUCGAGUCCCCGUGUUUAUUGAAAAAUGAAUUUUGAAAUAGAUUGAUGAAGAACGUGUGGCUAAAAAAUAAAAUAAAAAAGUUUUGAAUUUAUGUAUAAUAUUAUUUUAUUGAAUAGUGUGUGAUUUAAAAUAAGAAAGACAAAAAUAUAUUUUAGAAAGGGUAAUGAUAUUAUUACAACAAAAUUUACUUGUUACACAACAACUUUAAUCAAUUUUUUUAUUUACUUAAAUCACCUUAAUUAGAAUUACUUAAUUAUCCACGGUUUUAUAUAAAUUCUUAACAUAAACAAUUUUUUCUGGAUACACCACACUGUUGACAAUUUUAUGAAAAGAAGAAUAAACCCCAUUUGGCCCCCUUUUUUGGAAUGAAAAUGGGUGAAAUAUAUAUAUAUAUAUAUAUAUAUAUAUAUAUAUAUAUAUAUAUAUUUUUUUUUUUUUUAAAAUUAGUGAUUGAAAAAGAAGGAAAAUUUUUGAAUUACGUGUAAUAUUAUUUUAUGAAAGAUUAUGUGAUUGAAAAUAAGUGAGAAAAAAAUAAAAUAUAAUGUAAUGAGCGGGACUAAGAAAGGAAGCAAGAGGGCACCCCUUUAAUAGGCUUCACAAAUGCACAUUUCCAUAAUUUAUCCAGCAUUUGUGGCAUUAAAACGUCUGACGGUUCAUCCAAAUCCGCGACCUGAAGGCUAAAACCAUCCCUCGUAUAUUUCUCCACCUACAAGCACACUGGUGCAACAAAGCACACCUUUUUCCAUCAUGUGAUCACAAAAAGUAAAUGGUUAAUUAAUGGAAUAAAUAUCAUAAUCCCACCAGAUAAAAACAAAAAUAAAUUUGAAAAAGAAAACUAAGUGUUCGGAUGGGCACAUAUUGUUUCAAUGCCUGUUUGCUCAUAAUAGCGAGCCCGACGAGCACACCACCUAUCGUCCCUGCCUCGACUGUAGAACGCGAUCGGCCUAUCGCCUAGGGAUGUCAAUUGGGCCAAGCCGGCUCGAGGCUCGCCGGCUCGAGGCUCGCCGGCUCGGCUCGUGAAAAAUGGGCUCGUGGACGGCUCGUCGAGCCUAUCUUGUUCAGUGACCGUUUGGUCACUGAACUUUUGUUCAGUGACCNCAUUAUCCCUUAAUUAGAGUAAUAUUAGCCGGUAUCUACUUACUUAGUCCAUAUUAAUUUGAGUAGUCUAUGGGCAUACAAAAAAUAGACCACUUGAUUUUUGCUCAUUAUAUUAAAUAGCUAAAUAAUUGUAUUAAUAUGUUGCCAAUAUUAAUUUAGAAAAAUCGUGUUUUUCUAACAAUAAAACCCAGUUUCACUGUCUUUUUUUCUAGUGAAGAUUUUCGAUUGACCAAAAUUUUUUGACCUUUGGUCAGAUUUUUAAGCUUUUAUUUUGAUACAUUUAAGGUAUUUGGUGCUAGAAAAUUUUAGUUCUCUUGAAUUUUUUUCACUGGAGUCCCACCUAAACCUCCUGUUAGCUCUUUAAGGUUGUAGAUUAUGUGGUCAGUUAUUACCAUUUUCAUUUAGAAACUAUUUUUAAGUUCAGGUUUUUGAGUUCAAGUAGAUUAUGUGGGUCAGUCACAAUAUGCUUUUUUUCCAUGUCUACUUGCGAUAAUGAUAAAUUUUGUGGCAGGAACGGAAAUAAUGGAAGAUGUAAAUUAUGAUUUGUUGCUGGAAUGUGAUAAUGAGAACAUUGCAGAGAAUUUGAAUAUGUUAGACAACGAAAUGUAGGAGGAGAUGUUGUGACUGUGCCUGAAGUUGGGUAUGAUGUUCAAUGAUGAGAAAGAAAUGUUUGAAUUCUAUAAAAGCUAUGCUUAUGCCGUAGGCUUUUCAGCGAGGAAAAUGAAUUCAGAAAAAGGGAAAGAUGAAUGUCACAUGUGUAGUCGUUAAAGUUAACGAACUUAUGCUACAGGCGGCUCCUUGAAGCCACAGCCAACAAGUUAAGCGGAUUGUAAAGCAAGAAUAUCUGCAUCUUUGGAUGGUCUUGGAAUAUGGAGAAUUAAUAAAGUAUACCUAAACCACAAUCUUAAAACAAGACAUUCCAAGUUUAGGUUUUAUCGAUGCAACUGAAAAUUGAGUACGAGUGUGAAAUGAAAGCUUGAAGUAAAUGACAUGGUAGGAAUUCUCUUCCACACGUGUUAUAACUCUGCAGUGGUAAAAGCUAGUGGAUAUGAAAAAUACAACUUUUGUAGAGAAAGAUUGUCGAAAUUAUAUUGAAUUUGUGAGAUGAUUACGCCUUAGAGAAUGAGAUACCCUUGCAAUACAGGCGUAUUUUUCAAAGAUGCAAGCACUAUGCUUGAAAUUUUACUUUAGUAUUGACUUAGAUGAUGAUGUAGACUAAAGAAUGCUUUUGGGUAGAUAAUAAGUGUAGACAUAUAAGGAGUUCGGUGAUGUUCUCACUUUGAUACUACAUAUUUCACUAUAAUGGAGUGGAUAAAAUUGCAAGUAAAAGAUUUACGAAUGACAAAGUCAAGUGUAGGAAGUGUCGUCCACUCAUAGCAUAACAGCAACAACGAAAAUAUAUUAGAUCCUAUGUCGUCGAACAGAAAGGACGCAUCGAAGAAACUUCAGAGGAAAGGCCCAUUAAAGUCUAGUUUAAAGAGAGUAAGGUAUUUUUUACUAUUAGCAUCUUCGUUGAUUGAGAAUUUUAAACAAAUAAUCAUUUUACUUGUCGAAAAUGAAGGCCACCGCAUCGUUAAGCAAAGGAAAAAGGCCUCGAGCUAGGCAUAGUAAUACAGAAGAGGGAUCAAUCGAUGUCUAGGCAUCUCAACUACCACAAUGUUCUAUGUCGACGCCAUUGCAAUAUUUCGGCAGUCCGUCACCUACAAAUGUUAUAGUCAAUGCUGAAGGUAUAGCAUAUUGAUUUGUGUUUAGGAUGAGAAAUUAAUUGCUUAUUAGGUUUCUUAGGUAUUUAUUUAUGCAACUUGUCAUUUACGCGUGUUCUAUUUUUUACCUUCUAAACUAGACUUUGUCAUGCCAUACUUCUAUCAACAUUUACUCGAUCGAGGUGGCUGAGGCUUGUGAUUCUCGUAUGAAAGGUACAUGUGGACAAAUUUACUUGAUGCUAUUUUAUUUUUGGGCACUUAAGCCAUCUUUCUGUAUCAUAUGGUUGUAGUUGUGUGUAUGCUGCAGUACGAAGUGGAGAUCGUUCACAUCAUCCACUUUGAGAAGUGAAUACUGACUUUAUGACGAAAUUUCGGUGUAAUUAAUGUUGGACCUACUUUUUUUAUAAAAUAUAGGGUCGAGAAUUUGACUACGUUCUUUCAAUGUUUGUAUUGGAAAUAUAAUUAUUACAAUUUGAAGUUACUUGUUUAUGAAUGUUCAAUGUUGAGUAGCUAAUUGGCAGGCUUUAUGUGGUUGUUGAUAUGUGUUCAGAUAAGCUUUCA
rnacentral:lncRNA from 1 species